AUGGUUUUUAUUUUGCUUUUAUUCCUCACUUUCUCUCUUAGAUAUCUACAGUGUAAAACAAUUUUGGGGCCUAUCCUCCUAGCUGCUGAAACUGCAGAAGAGCAUACUUGGCGUGCUGAGCCCCAUUCAGCUGAUGCACCUCAAGGAGAGCGAGGAGGCAAGGAAGUAAAAUUGCAAGCCAGGAUGGCCUUGGAACUGGGUUCCAGGCUCUGCUCAUCCCCCGGGAUAGAUCUCAUUGCUGCCCUUUCUGCUGGGGACCGUGCAGGAGACACAGAAACACUGCUACCAAGGGGUGCAGAGAAGGAUGUGACAGCAUCACCAGCCUUAGAAGAAACAGCAGCAACGAGAGAGAUGGAAAGUCUGGACGUGGCCAAGCCUGAUGGAGCAGUGGUGGAAGCAUCAGAAAGCCCAGAGGCAGAAGGAGUUGCUGAAAUUAUCCGAGCAGCAGAACGAAUAGCAAAAUCUGAAGUGGCCAAGGUGCUGCAGUCAGCAAUAGCUGAGCUCAAGGAGAUGAGGAGGAGCGCAUGGUUAAAGCCAAAGAACACCACCCAACAGGAGGAGGAGGACUGGGAGAAGAAAAGAGAGGUGAUGUGAGAUGAAGGUUGGUUCACACCCAAAGGAAGGCUCAUACCGUGAGCAUUCCCAUUACAUCCCCUUUGUAAGUGCCCAUUCUAUUAAAAAUAAAGAUAUGCCACAUUCCA
rnacentral:lncRNA from 1 species